AUUGAACGCUGGCGGCAGGCUUAACACAUGCAAGUCGAACGGUAGCAGGAGAAAGCUUGCUUUCUUGCUGACGAGUGGCGGACGGGUGAGUAAUGCUUGGGAAUCUUGCUUAUGGAGGGGGAUAACUACGGGAAACUGUAGCUAAUACCGCGUAAUAUCUUCGGCUUAAAGAAUGGGACUUUUAGCCAUUCGCCAUCAGAUGAGCCCAAGUGGGAUUAGGUAGUUGGUGGGGUAAAGGCCUACCAAGCCGACGAUCUCUAGCUGGUCUGAGAGGAUGACCGGCCACACUGGAACUGAGACACGGUCCAGACUCCUACGGGAGGCAGCAGUGGGGAAUAUUGCGCAAUGGGGGCAACCCUGACGCAGCCAUGCCGCGUGAAUGAAGAAGGCCUUCGGGUUGUAAAGUUCUUUCGGUGGUGAGGAAGGCUAAUAUGUUAAUAGCAUAUUAGAUUGACGUUAGCCACAGAAGAAGCACCGGCUAACUCCGUG
rnacentral:rRNA from 1 species